GCCGCUAUGGUGAAUUCGGUAGAC
rnacentral:tRNA from 2 species